GAUGAACGCUGGCGGCGUGCCUAAUACAUGCAAGUCGAGCGAACAGACGAGGAGCUUGCUCCUUUGACGUUAGCGGCGGAAGGGUGAGUAACACGUAGGUAACCUACCUAUAAGACUGGGAUAACUUCGGGAAACCGGAGCUAAUAUCGGAUAAUAUUUCGAACCGCAUGGUUCGAUAGUGAAAGAUGGCUUUGCUAUCACUUAUAGAUGGACCUGCGCCGUAUUAGCUAGUUGGUAAGGUAACGGCUUACCAAGGCAACGAUACGUAGCCGACCUGAGAGGGUGAUCGGCCACACUGGAACUGAGACACGGUCCAGACUCCUACGGGAGGCAGCAGUAGGGAAUCUUCCGCAAUGGGCGAAAGCCUGACGGAGCAACGCCGCGUGAGUGAUGAAGGUCUUCGGAUCGUAAAACUCUGUUAUUAGGGAAGAACAAGCGUGUAAGUAACUGUGCACGUCUUGACGGUACCUAAUCAGAAAGCCACGGCUAACUACGUG
rnacentral:rRNA from 1 species